rnacentral:misc_RNA from 1 species
GAUGAAGAACGUAGCGAAAUGCGAUAAGUAAUGUGAAUUGCAGAAUUCAGUGAAUCAUCGAAUCUUUGAACGCACAUUGCGCCCGCCAGUAUUCUGGCGGGCAUGCCUGUUCGAGCGUCAUUACAACCCUCAGGCCCCCGGGCCUGGCGUUGGGGAUCGGCGGAGCCCCCCGUGGGCACACGCCGUCCCCCAAAUGCAGUGGCGGUCCCGCCGCAGCUUCCAUCGCGUAGUAGCUAACACCUCGCGACUGGAGAGCGGCGCGGCCACGCCGUAAAACACCCAACUCUUCUGAAGUUGACCUCGAAUCAGGUAGGAAUACCCGCCGAACUUAAGCAUAUCAAUAAGCGGAGGA